rnacentral:rRNA from 1 species
GACGAACGCUGGCGGCGUGCCUAAUACAUGCAAGUUGAGCGCUGAAGGUUGGUACUUGUACCAACUGGAUGAGCAGCGAACGGGUGAGUAACGCGUGGGGAAUCUGCCUUUGAGCGGGGGACAACAUUUGGAAACGAAUGCUAAUACCGCAUAAAAACUUUAAACACAAGUUUUAAGUUUGAAAGAUGCAAUUGCAUCACUCAAAGAUGAUCCCGCGUUGUAUUAGCUAGUUGGUGAGGUAAAGGCUCACCAAGGCGAUGAUACAUAGCCGACCUGAGAGGGUGAUCGGCCACAUUGGGACUGAGACACGGCCCAAACGGCUACGGGAGGCAGCAGUAGGGAAUCUUCGGCAAUGGACGAAAGUCUGACCGAGCAACGCCGCGUGAGUGAAGAAGGUUUUCGGAUCGUAAAACUCGGUUGGUAGAGAAGAACGUUGGUGAGAGUGGAAAGCUCAUCAAGUGACGGUAACUACCCAGAAAGGGACGGCUAACUACGUG